AUGGCAGUGAUGUUUCACACGCAUGUGCGAAUCCCUUUUUCCCAGGCCGCAGAUUUGCAGGCGAUUUCUUGCGCCGUGCACUUCUGCACUUCUGCACUCUGCACUCUGCACUGCACCGCUCUCCCAAAGCCGGAAGGCUCGGCCUACUGCAACACACAACCGCCCGCACCGAGCCACUGCGUGCACGACCGUCGUCGUCAGUCACAUGAGGCUGGCUCUGAGAGGAGAGGCCUCGCACCACCACCACCACCACGGGCCACGGCUCCGUCACUUCUCCCCGACCUCCUCUCUUCGUGCUCUCUUGUCAGCCUCCACACACACACGCAUACACACCAGCCCCCCGUCUCUCCUGUCCCCUCGCCGAGGCGCCAUUGCCUUCUCCAGGCAGGCUUCUUGCUUCACUCACUCACUCACUCGUCACUCAUUCACCCACUUCCAGUGAGCCUCCCGCUGCGUUCGUUCUCCAUGGGAAGCGGCAUAAAGCAGCUGGUGGCGAGCCUGCUGGGAGCGGUGGGUGGAGGCCAGAGGGGCACCAAGAAGGAGGGCACGCGGCCGCAGACAGUGGAGCUCAGGGUCCGGAUGGACUGCGAGCGCCAGGUCAAGAAGGCACUCGCCGGCAUGCGAGGUGUGGAACGCGUAGAGGUGAACAGGAAGCAGCAGAGGGUGACUGUCACUGGCACCGUGGACCCCCAGGCCCGUUACAGGUGGGCCCCGUCACCUGUAAGCUCACUCGGUUCGCUCUUGCCAAUUUACCUUGCCAAGCCUCACAAAACUUGCCGUUUUCGGCAGCUCCCGGGCCUGCCAAACGUUGUUGGCGUGCCAAAAUUUUUGGCUACCAACCAACGAAGCAUGGCCUUGGCGAGGGAGCAAUGGAGGUCGGGUCAGUGCGCGGUGACAACAUCCGUCAGGUCCUUCCUUGGAGGAACAGUAUCGGUGCAGAUGCUGCGGUGCAGCGAACGAAGGCACCCCUCGCUUUUCUGCCGGUGCAAUGCAAGGCGUCCUUUUGAGCUCGAAUGCUCGAUCGUUUCCGGGCUUCUAGACUGUUGUGGUCGCUGGGUGCGUGCAUGUAUGGCUCUGUGCUGUGCUGCUGGGUGGGGUUGGGUUGUCGUGGGCCGGAAAUUCUUCUCGGAUUUUUUAUCUUUUUGGCCUGAGGACUCCUCUCAGUGCGGCGUCCCUUUUGGUUUCGACACGGAGCGUAGCACCACAGUGAUACUGUUGGGGCCUCAAAUCGGACCGUCCACUCGUGGCAGUACGAUGAAAGUUGGCCGGGGCGCGCGGUGUCGCCGUGUGUGCAGUGCCGGCUACACGGACAGCACAGUCCCUGGCAAGUCGCUGGAGCUACUCGUAGCCCGGGUCUCUUGUCCCGGAGCGCGGGUGACAGGGACGGAGCGCGACGGCGACCGAGCCACCCCUUUCCGGGUCCGUGAUCGUGGCGGGAGACCUUUUUCUAGCUGCAGCCACGUACGAAACGACCGGAGAGCGACGGCUCUCAUCUGCUUUUGCCCGCCCGCCACCUUGAUCGGCCGACCCCGACACCGGAGCCGAGCUGCGCGGUUGCGGUUGCGUUCGCGCUCGGCACGUAAGCUAGGCGGGUCGUCGUUGAUCGUGCCAGUGCAGCUGUGCUCGUGUCGUGACAUGAGGUCGUCGGUUGUCCCCAGGCAAUUCGGUUAUUGGUGGCGUGUAACGGAGCCAUCUGUCGUUGGUAGAUGGUAG
rnacentral:rRNA from 1 species